rnacentral:tRNA from 1 species
GGGCACGUAGCUCAGUUGGUUGGAGCAUGUCACUGAUAAUGACAAGGUCGUAGGUUCGAGUCCUACCGUGCCCA